CAGAGGAAAAGAAACCAAAAGGGAUUCCCUUAGUAACGGCGAGUGAAAAGGGAAAAGCUCAUCGCAAAGGUUUAUCAUUUUAUAUAUUGAUAAACGGUGCUGCGUUAUUGUUGAAAUAAAUAAUAGCUGAUUCUGGAAGUAUAAAUCCCUCUGACCGGGGUUAAAUAUCCACAGAUGGUGCUAGGCCAUUAAUACUUUCUAGCAAUUAUUGCUAUUUGUUUUAAUAUAAAAGAGUCAGAUUGCUUGAGAGUGCAAUCUUAAUUUGAAGGUAAACUCCUUCAAAAGCUAAAUAUGCUGACAAUACCGAUAGCAAACAAGUACCGUGAGGGAAAGUUGCAAAGAACUUUGAAGAGAGAGUUCAAAAGGAAGUGAAACCACUUGUAGGAAAACGAGUAGAACCACGAAGUGUAGCAAAGAGGAGAAUUCAACUUCUCUAUAUAAUGAUAAUAUCUUCAUUUGUUCAUUAAGACGAUUAUUAUUAUUAUUAUUCUAAUGCUAAURAUNNNNNAUAUAGAUAUAUAUUAAUAUAUGAAAAGAUAACCUAUAUGUAAGAUAUUACAUUUAUGGUGUAAAUUUCAUAUAUUGAUAACUAUGAUAAUUUACCUAUUGGGAUAAAUAAAAUGCUAUAUUAUAUAUAAUUUAAAUUUAAAUUUAUAUAGUARUAGUAUACAAUAAUAGUAACCCUUUUAUGGAUGAUAUUUUUAAUUGGACAAUUGUGAUSAAUUUUAACUCAUUAUAAUAUAAAAAUUACAUGAGAAUUAAAAUUGCAUCAHUUGUAAAAUUUUCCAUUUAUAAAGUUUUAUCCAAUUAAAAGGGGGAAAGCAGCAUAAAAAUUUUUUGAAAUWUUUUGUUUUUGCUGUGGCUAUUAUCUAAGGCUAGUAGGUCGGUAAUCUACUNNNNNNNNNNNNNNNNNNNNNNNNNNNNGUCUAACAUGUACGCAAGUUAAAAAGCUUUGUAUAUGCUUAAUAGGCAAAAUGAAAGUAAAAAGUAUGAACUUGAUUUGAGUAAUAUAAUUUAGAAAUAAUAGAGUUUAUCAUAUGAUAAGCGUAUAUUAUAUCAUAAUAUUAUGUUGCUUGAAGAACAAAUUCAAUACUGGCCCGUUAUAUCUGAAUAAUAUUCAUUUAUAUUAUAGCAGAAUAACGGAGCUUGAGCGUAUACGUUGGUACCCGAAAGAUGGUGAACUAUGCCUGGGCCAGAUGAAGCCAGAGGAAACUCUGGUGGAAGUCUUUAGCGAAUCUGACGUGCAAAUCGAUCGUCAGACCUGGGUAUAGGGGCGAAAGACUAAUCGAACCAUCUAGUAGCUGGUUUCCUCUGAAGUUUCCCUCAGGAUAGCUGGCAUUAUAUGAUAAGGAAAUGUUGUUACAGCAGUAGCAUCCGGUAGAGCGAAUGAUUAGAUGUACUGGGAUCGAAAAGAUCUCAACAUAUUCUCAAACUUCUAAUGGAUGCAAAGAUUUAACUUAUCAAUGUUAAAGUUGRUUGAUAUAUGGUUCAUUUGUGAUACCAUAUACAAUUGUAAUAUGCUAAUAGUGCCAAGUGGGCCAUUUUUGGUAAGCAGAACUGGCGAUGUGGGAUGAACCAAACGUUGGGUUAAGGUGCCCGAUGAUGACGCUAAUUAGAUCCCAUGAAAGGUGUUGGUUGCUAAAGACAGCAGGGCGGUGGCCAUGGAAGUCGGAAUCCGCUAAGGAGUGUGUCACAACUCACCUGCCGAAGCAACUAGCCCUGAAAAUGGAUGGCUCUUAAGCGUUUAACCUAUACCUAACCAUAAUGGUAAAAUGUUUAAUGUUAUUAUUAUUAUUACUAUUAUAAUAAUAAAAAAUAUUAGAGAAAUCAUUAUGAGUAAGAGGAACGCAAUGAUAGCGUUGAAGGGAUCAGAUUUAAUUCUGCCUGGAGCUUUCAUUGUUGCAGAUCUUGGUGGUAGUAGCAAAUACUCAAGUGAGAUCCUUGAGGACCGAAGUGGAGAAGGGUUCCAUGUGAACAGCAUUUGAACAUGGGUCAGUCGAUCCUAAGAGAUGCGGAGAAAUCCGUACCAAAGUCCCAGAAUUGUAAUUGUAUACAAAAAAAUAUUAUACAAUAGAUGAUGACGCGCUAUUGUAUUUAUAUUAUAAUCUAUAUAUAAUCUAAUCUGUUGACUGAGGUAUAUCUCGAAAGGGAAUUGGGUUAAUAUUCCCAAACCUAGACAGGGAAAUAAUUUCACAUUAUAUCAUAAUGUGAGAUAAAUGCGGUAACGCAAACUUACUCAGAGAUGCCGCCAUAAGCCCUGGGAAGAGUUAUCUUUUCUUUGUAAGGAUCCAAGUCCCUGGAAUCGGUUCAACCGGAGAUAGGGAUGUCGGAGACGUAAAGCAUCACGGCUCUUGUGAUGUCCAGAGUGCUUAUGAUGGACCUUGAAAAUCUGAGACAGAGUGAUAAAUUUUCCUGCUAGUUCGUACCCAUAUCCGCAGCAGGUCUCCUAGGUGAAAAGCCUCUGGUCGAUAGAAUAAUGUAGAUAAGGGAAGUCGGCAAA
rnacentral:rRNA from 1 species